UACAGAGGUGCCAAGCGUUAGGCGGAAUCACUGGGCUUAAAGCGUGUGUAGGCGGACUUCUAAGUACCUUGUGAAAUCCCCCGGCUCAACCGGGGAACUGCUGGGUAUACUGGGAGUCUUGAGCCAGCUAGGGGUCGCCGGAACAAGUGGUGGAGCGGUGAAAUGCGUAGAUAUCCACAGGAACUCCGGUGGCGAAGGCGGCACGCUGGACCUUUUCUGACGCUGAGGCGCGAAAGCCAGGGGAGCGAACGGG
rnacentral:rRNA from 1 species